CCUCUAUAAAGAUCUGGUCCGCUCAACAGGCCGGCGCCAGAUUAUUCCAUAUAUCAUGAACCUCCGUGUGCCUCUUCGCUCGGCUGUCCUCCUCGCCUCUCCGUGGAUCCUCCAGCCAGCCUGCACCCUGCCGCUCCAGCCUGUACCUGCCUACACAGUCAAUAAACUGUUACCUUUUUCACUA